rnacentral:rRNA from 1 species
GAUGAACGCUGGCGGCGUGCUUAACACAUGCAAGUCGAACGGAAAGGCCAGUGCUCGCACUGGUACUCGAGUGGCGAACGGGUGAGUAACACGUGGGUGAUCUGCCCUGCACUUCGGGAUAAGCCUGGGAAACUGGGUCUAAUACCGGAUAGGACAAUGGUUUGGAUGCCGUUGUGGAAAGUUUUUUCGGUGUGGGAUGAGCUCGCGGCCUAUCAGCUUGUUGGUGGGGUAAUGGCCUACCAAGGCGUCGACGGGUAGCCGGCCUGAGAGGGUGUACGGCCACAUUGGGACUGAGAUACGGCCCAGACUCCUACGGGAGGCAGCAGUGGGGAAUAUUGCACAAUGGGCGCAAGCCUGAUGCAGCGACGCCGCGUGGGGGAUGACGGCCUUCGGGUUGUAAACUCCUUUCGCUAGGGACGAAGCGUAUUUGUGACGGUACCUGGAGAAGAAGCACCGGCUAACUACGUG